rnacentral:tRNA from 1 species
GGGCGGUUAACUCAGCGGCUAGAGUGUCGGUUUUACAAGCCGGAGGUCGAAGGUUCGAAUCCUUUACCGCCCACCA